AUCCUUUUGUAAUACAUAAGCAGAAUGAUUGGGUUUUUAUGUUCAUAUGUUUGAUAUGCCUCCCUCAAAUCCUCUUAUGAUGUCGGCACAUUACCUAUCUGAGG
ensembl:snoRNA